UACAGAGGGUGCGAGCGUUAAUCGGAAUUACUGGGCGUAAAGCGUGUGUAGGUGGUUAGAUAAGUUAGAUGUGAAAACUCUGGGCUCAACCCAGAGCCUGCAUCUAAAACUGGAGUGCUAGAGUUCUGGAGGGGGUAGCGGAAUUCCUGGUGUAGCGGUGAAAUGCGUAGAUAUCAGGAGGAACACCGGUGGCGAAGGCGGCUACCUGGACAGAAACUGACGCUGAGGCGCGAAAGCUAGGGGAGCAAACAGG
rnacentral:rRNA from 1 species